GAUGAACGCUGGCGGCGUGCCUAAUACAUGCAAGUCGAGCGAACGGACGAGAAGCUUGCUUCUCUGAUGUUAGCGGCGGACGGGUGAGUAACACGUGGAUAACCUACCUAUAAGACUGGGAUAACUUCGGGAAGCCGUAGCUAAUACCGGAUAAUAUUUUGAACCGCAUGGUUCAAAAGUGAAAGACGGUCUUGCUGUCACUUAUAGAUGGAUCCGCGCUGCAUUAGCUAGUUGGUAAGGUAACGGCUUACCAAGGCAACGAUGCAUAGCCGACCUGAGAGGGUGAGCAGUCACACUGGAACUGAGACGCGGGCCAGACUCCUACGGGAGGCAGCAGUGGGGAAUAUUGGACAAAGGGCGAAAGCUUGAACGAGUCAUGCCGCGUGUGUGAAGAAGGUCAUAGGAUUGGAAAGCACUGUAAGUAGGCAGGAAGAAAAGUGAGAGAAAACAUUGAUGUCGUGACGUUACCAACAGAAUAAGCUCGGGCUAACUUCGUG
rnacentral:rRNA from 1 species